rnacentral:rRNA from 1 species
GACAGAGGUCCCGAGCGUUAGGCGGAAUUACUGGGCGUAAAGCGCGCGUAGGCGGACCUGCAAGUCGGGGGUGAAAGCCCGAGGCUCAACCUCGGAACUGCCUUCGAUACUGCGGGUCUCGAGUCCGGGAGAGGUGAGUGGAAUUCCUAGUGUAGAGGUGAAAUUCGUAGAUAUUAGGAAGAACACCAGUGGCGAAGGCGGCUCACUGGCCCGGUACUGACGCUGAGGCGCGAAAGCGUGGGGAGCAAACAGG